UCUGACUNGAGUGCAGAAGGGGAGAGUGGAAUUCCAUGUGUAGCGGUGAAAUGCGUAGAUAUAUGGAGGANCACCAGUGGCGAAAGCGGCUCUCUGGUCUGUCACUGACGCUGUGGCUCGAAAGCGUGGGUAGCGAACAGGAUUAGAUACCCUGGUAGUCCACGCCGUAAACGAUGAGUGCUAGGUGUUAGGCCCUUUCCGGGGCUUAGUGCCGGAGCUAACGCAAUAAGCACUCCGCCUGGGGAGUACGACCGCAAGGUUGAAACUCAAAGGAAUUGACGGGGGCCCGCACAAGCGGUGGAGCAUGUGGUUUAAUUCGAAGCAACGCGAAGAACCUUACCAGGUCUUGACAUCCCGAUGCUAUUCUUAGAGAUAGGAAGUUACUUCGGUACAUCGGAGACAGGUGGUGCAUGGUUGUCGUCAGCUCGUGUCGUGAGAUGUUGGGUUANNNNNNNAAANNNAGCGCAACCCUUAUUGUUAGUUGCCAUCAUUAAGUUGGGCACUCUAGCGAGACUGCCGGUAAUAAACCGGAGGAAGGUGGGGAUGACGUCGAAUCAUCAUGCCCCUUAUGACCUGGGCUACACACGUGCUACAAUGGUCGGUACAACGAGUUGCGAGCCGGUGACGGCAAGCUAAUCUCUGAAAGCCGAUCUCAGUUCGGAUUGGAGGCUGCA
rnacentral:rRNA from 1 species